rnacentral:rRNA from 1 species
ACCUGGCGACGAGUGGCGAACGGGUGAGUAAUAUAUCGGAACGUGCCCAAUAGUGGGGGAUAGCCCGGCGAAAGCCGGAUUAAUACCGCAUGAGACCUGAGGGUGAAAGCGGGGGAUCGCAAGACCUCGCGCUAUUGGAGCGGCCGAUAUCAGAUUAGGUAGUUGGUGGGGUAAAAAGCCUACCAAGCCGACGAUCUGUAGCUGGUCUGAGAGGAUGAUCAGCCACAUUGGGACUGAGACACGGCCCAAACUCCUACGGGAGGCAGCAGUGGGGAAUAUUGGACAAUGGGCGCAAGCCUGAUCCAGCAAUGCCGCGUGCGGGAAGAAGGCCUCGGUU